CUCCCAUAGACCUCCAGAGGAAACAAUGGCGGACGUUUUUUCAGGCUACUUCCGCGUUAUGGAGAGCUCAACAGUUCUUAACAGUGACAUUCGCGGAGUUUGCCUCAUUCACUUCCAUUGGUGUCUGCCUAACUUUGUCAGCGAUGCUGAAAGUGACGUGACAAGACAUUGUCUUCAAUUAAGUGGUCCUUCAGUGCCACUGCUUUGGUUGACACCAUAAGGGAUUCGGUCGUCCUUGCCCGGACCAACUGCUCCACUUUACUGAUGAUAUUGAAG